rnacentral:rRNA from 1 species
CCUACGGGACGCAGCAGUGGGGAAUAUUGGGCAAUGGACGCAAGUCUGACCCAGCAACGCCGCGUGAAGGAAGAAGGCUUUCGGGUUGUAAACUUCUUUUAAGGGGGAAGAGCAGAAGACGGUACCCCUUGAAUAAGCAUCGGCUAACUCCGUGCCAGCAGCCGCGGUAAUACGGAGGAUGCGAGCGUUAUCCGGAUUUAUUGGGUUUAAAGGGUGCGUAGGCGGAUUUUUAAGUCAGCGGUAAAAUGUCCGGGCUCAACCCGGGCCGGCCGUUGAAACUGGGGAUCUUGAGUGGGCGAGAAGUA